rnacentral:rRNA from 1 species
UGGAUCCAGACUUUGAUCAUGGCUCAGGAUGAACGCUAGCUACAGGCUUAACACAUGCAAGUCGAGGGGCAGCAUGGUCUUAGCUUGCUAAGACUGAUGGCGACCGGCGCACGGGUGAGUAACACGUAUCCAACCUGCCGUCUACUCUUGGACAGCCUUCUGAAAGGAAGAUUAAUACAAGAUGGCAUCAUGAGUCCGCAUGUUCACAUGAUUAAAGGUAUUCCGGUAGACGAUGGGGAUGCGUUCCAUUAGAUAGUAGGCGGGGUAACGGCCCACCUAGUCUUCGAUGGAUAGGGGUUCUGAGAGGAAGGUCCCCCACAUUGGAACUGAGACACGGUCCAAACUCCUACGGGAGGCAGCAGUGAGGAAUAUUGGUCAAUGGGCGAGAGCCUGAACCAGCCAAGUAGCGUGAAGGAUGACUGCCCUAUGGGUUGUAAACUUCUUUUAUAAAGGAAUAAAGUCGGGUAUGCAUACCCGUUUGCACGUACUUUAUGAAUAAGGAUCGGCUAACUCCGUGCCAGCAGCCGCGGUAAUACGGAGGAUCCGAGCGUUAUCCGGAUUUAUUGGGUUUAAAGGGAGCGUAGAUGGAUGUUUAAGUCAGUUGUGAAAGUUUGCGGCUCAACCGUAAAAUUGCAGUUGAUACUGGAUAUCUUGAGUGCAGUUGAGGCAGGCGGAAUCCGUGGUGUAGCGGUGAAAUGCUUAGAUAUCACGAAGAACUCCGAUUGCGAAGGCAGCCUGCUAAGCUGCAACUGACAUUGAGGCUCGAAA